AAAAAAAUGAGGGCUUGCUCUUUUUCUUAUUUCUCUGCAGGAUCAAGGAUGCUGUUGACAGUGGAGGAAUUGAUGCUGUCUUUUCUAAGACACAGAUCAAGGUUGCUUUUGAAUGCACUAUCAGUUGUUAAAGCCACCGUUUCUUUUUCAGAUGAUUACAUUUUUGUCUCUUGCUCUUUGGUUUCAGACAUUACACGAUGAUCUACUCUCUGGAAAGAUCCGCUCCAACAGGAUGUUUCUUUGGAGGAAUCCCGCCACCUCACUCCGGCUAAAGCAGCAUCUAAAGAUAAGGUCACUAAGUUGGAGUGAGCAGCGCGUAAGUAAAAAUGCCAUCCAUCAUGAGUAUUUUUACUCUCAGAGGUAUUACAUUUGAAAGCUGUUUACUUUCUGUGUUUUUCUUCAAUAGAUGUUCGAGCUCCUGCGGUUUAUUGAGGAGGCAACAACCAUAUCAGAAAAAAUCAAAAGAGGCGAG